UUUUUGAUAGCAUAUCCUAACAGAACAAGCGAUUCGACCUACCUGAACAUUGCUUUGAAGAGCAGAACUGGCGUCAUAGGCUGCCUGGCUUGCCUCCCGGAUGACCUUCACCUGCUCCAUCAUGUUCCCCGCCUGGCGUAUCGCUUCCUUUGCAGCACUGGCUUGGUCCUCCGGGACAUGGUGCGUCGUGAAGAGGGAAGGCUGCGCAGCACUCGACGAAGCGGGGAGAGCACUCGUCAGUGGAACCGCGAAGGACACGGUGUGUCGAGUGGUGUUCUCCUCCUCCGCGACCAGAGUCUCGGGCGCCGUCACAUCCUGGGCCACCCUACCGGCAGACGCUUUCCUGCUCCUCCUGUGCUUCAGUGGUUCCUCAUCGUCAUCAUCAUCAGGAAGAGUGAUAACGACAUUGGAUGGAGCUACAGAAAAGAAUCAGAAUUAGGGACUGUAAGUGCAUCUAGUGCCCCUUAGUGAUUUUGGUGUAUUGAAGACUUAUAGGUUAAGUAACUGAUGCGUUUGUGAGUGUACACAGGUCUAUAAGUCUAUGAGGAGUUUGAUAUUUACAGAGAAAGUCGACCCCUAAAAAUGAAGUUCUUCGACUGAAGACUUUGAUAUUCUGAAGACUUUCUGAAGACUUUGAAAGUGAAGAAAUUGGUGUGACCAUGAAGACUUGAUAUUCAUUCGAGGAAUAUGAAGCGUGAAGACUUUUGUUUUCGUAGUUUCAUUUUCUCUUUCUUGAGUCAUAGGAAACACCGUACUAUUAAAGGGGGUCGAGGAAAUACUAAGGAAAAAUUUCCAUGUGAUGCUCAACUCAAAAUCCUACACCUACCAAUCCCUUCGAGUGAAGCCAUUGGAAAUCUCAUACACUUCAGUCAAAUUCUUCAGUGACAGAGACGCAGUUCUUCUGGUCACUGAUGACUUUGCUCUGACUGAGGAGUUAGGAAUUCGCCAGUGCGAAUUGCCUACACAGUGAGGAACAUGAUAGCCCUGAGGACUUUGAAAGUCAAAUUUCCGACCGUUGCUGUGCUGCGCGCCGGCGGACCAAAAUAUCUUAUCCACCUAACGGUCAUAUCAUUGAAGGGCAUUUAUGUCUUAUCAUGUCGGGCUGCUCCCUAGGCUAUAAAUAGCCGCCCCCUACAACCACUAGUUGGUUGGCUGCUCCGAGAGAACUUGACACUUGUCAUUUGAGAGCAACCCAUCCUCCGAGGACUUUGAGCGAAAAUCAUCAAGUGAGGAAAAUCCAAAACCAAACCCCCCACAAAAACCCCAAGUGAUUGAGCAUCACUGAAGAAAUUGAUCCUGCGUGGAUCCGACGCUUGUUACCUUUGAAGACUGUGCUUCUUCCAGACGGUUAGGCGUCAAGGUCUAGAGCAUCCAAGAGGAAUUGUGGAUCACCGAGUGACCAAGUCUGUGAAGGUUUGGAAGUCACCUGAAGACUUACCACGAGUGAUUGGACGAGGCCUGCGUGGUCUUAGUUCAAGGAGAAUAUGGUGAGGACUGGGUGUCCUGAGUUGCGGCUCAGAGACUGGGUGUCCGAGACUGUGUGUCCUCGAGUUUAAAUACUCAGCCGCUCCAACCAGACGUACAACUGAGACAGCAGUUGGAACUGGUCUACCAAAUCAUUGUCUUCACCAACUGACUGGUUCUAUUUCCUCAACUCAUUCAUUUCCUCAUUCUGUGUUGCAUGUUGUUCAUAUCUGUGCUUGAAGACUUUGACUGAAGACUUUCACAAAUUCCUCAGUUCAAUUUCUUCAGUCUGUUUGUCUGCAUCUUGUUAUCCUGUGUUUACGCUUCCUGUACUCUGUUCUAGUCUUCAUUUCAUCAUGCUGACUAUGUGUGUAAUCGGUUAUGUUUACCUCUGAGUACUUAUUCCGCUGCAAAUAGUUCUUCGCUAAGGAAUUUCCUCACCGGCAAAUUCCUCAGUGAAGAAUUUCAUAAAAAUCGCCUAUUCACCCCCCUCUAGUCGAUAUAACGCACUUUCAAUUGGUAUCAGAGCAAGGUACUCCCUUGUUCUGUGUGAUUUUGGUUUAACCACCUGGAGUUCUAGUUAUGUCGACCGCAGGUAUGAUCAAGGUCUCGGCUGGGUGUCCUACCUUUGAUGGAACGGACUAUCCCUACUGGAAGAACAAGAUGCGGAUGCAUCUUGAGGCAAUUGAUAAUGAUCUCUGGUAUGUUGUGGAAAAUGGUGUCCCCGCUGUCACUGAAACACUGACCGCUACUGACGUGAAGAGAUUCAAACAACUCGACUUUCAAGCGAAGAAUAUCAUCUGUGGCCAUCUGAGCAAAGGAUAGUAUGGAAGAGUGAGUGCUUUGGAAACUGCCAAGCUUAUCUGGGAUAGGUUGUCCAAAGUAAAUGAAGGAGUCUCAACUCAGCGUGACUCUCGAGUUGAUGUUCUUCGGAAUCUCUUCAACCGCUUCAAAAGACUCGACAACGAAAAUGUUCAACAAACCUUCGAUCGCCUCACUGACAUCUCAAAUGAGCUUCAAGCCCUCGGUGCCACUGAUAUCACUGACCAUGAAGUGGUGAAGAAACUGCUAAGAUCGCUUGAUUCCUCAUUUGAUACUCUGGGACUGAUGAUACAAGAGCGUGCUGACUACAAGUCACUUGAUCCUGCUGACAUCCUCAAAAGGCUUAACACUCACGAGUUCCAGCUUGCUGAAAAGAGAGAUCUCUAUGGCUCAAACCAUGGCAAACCACGUGCCCUGAAGGCUAAGGUUGUGUCUGACUCUGAAUGUGAGGAUUCUGGAAGUAGCCUUGGUGAUCCUGAAGAACUGAGCCAGGAUCUAGCUCUCCUGGUGAAGAAAUUCCAGAAAUUCACAAGACGUGGUCGCUUUGGAAAACCCUCAAGGGGAAGUGAUCCUUCAUCCAGUGACUACAAGAGAAGACUUUGCCACAAAUGCAAGAAGCCUGGUCACUAUAUUCAAGAUUGUCCUCAGUGGGAAAAGGAAAUGAAGAAGAAGAAAUACAAGGACUACAGUUCUGAUGAAAUGAAGAAGAAGAAGAAAUCAUCAAAAUCUUCGUCUUCAAAACCAUCAAAGUCUUCAUCUCACAAGAAGGGCAGCUCCAAGAAAGCUCGGGCAUUCAUUGGCAAGGAAAUGGACUCUGAAGCUGAAUCUGAGGAAAAUGAUGAAGAGGAGGAGUCUGAAGAAUCCGAGUCUGGUGUGGCGAGUCUGGCCGUUGCUACUGCUUUCGUCAGCAAGUCCAUCUUCAACACUGAAGAAACUGAUUCCACCAACAAGCCUGAUGAAGAUAAUGAUGGCUACGCUCCCACCUAUUGCUUCAUGGCAAAAGCAGCUAAGGUACUCAAAUACAACUCCUCUGAUUCUAGUGAAAAUGAAUCAGAUGAGGAUCUUAAGCCUAGCUACUCUAAACUUGCUAAAAUUGCUGUGAAACAACAACGGGCCCUUGAAAAGGUUCAAAACAUGCUAGAUAAAAGUGAUGAUAUGUUGGGUGAAGAAAUGGAUCGCACUAAAGCCCUGACUGAAAAUCUUCAGAGACUUCAGUCUAAGUACUAUAACCUUCAAGGUCAUCAUAACUCCCUCCAGUCUGAUCAUGAGAAACUUUCUUAUGAAUUUCUUCAAGAAAAGCAAGACAAUGAGAAGCUUUCUCUUGAAGCUAUUCAAAGAAAGGCAGAUCUUGAAAAGCUAAGAGUAUGUUAUGAAGAUCUUCAGAAGGAGCGCGAUUCAUUACUAGCUCAACAAAUCAGCGCUUCUCAGGAAGAAUUUGUUCCUCCAUGCUUAAAGUGCAUUGAACGUGAAUCUGCUAAUUCUUCACCUGAAUGUUCAAAUGCUUCAAAUGUUACAAAUUCUUCAUCUGCCUCUGCUAUCACUAAUUCCUCAUCUGAGGACUUUGCUAGUAUCACUGACAAUGCAGGGCUGAAGGAAUUGUACAUGACAGGCAUGUACAAAAGCCUCAAAGGGCAUCAGACACUUUGUGAUGUGCUCAAAAAGCAGAUCCUCAACAAAAACCCUAGGAAAGAGGGUAUUGCCUUUGAGAGGAAACUCAAUGCCGAUGGAACAUAUUGGAAGCCUGAGCAGUACCCCAAAACCUCAUGGGUUGCUGCAAAGGGACCUCCAGUUGAUCCAUCUAACUUAUCUGGCUUUACAUGUGAAUCUCCUCAUUCUUCUAAUGAGUCAUUUGACUCCAACUAUAAACUGUUCAAAAAUCAGAAUGGUGAAGUAUUUGCUAGAUAUGUUGGCACUAACUGCAGGAACGGUUCCCCUAUGAAGAAAAUCUGGGUUCCCAAAAGUUGUGUUGAAAGUCUUCAGGUGAAUGUCCUCAUGACACCACCUGUGAAGAACAGGAACCCCAGAUCAAAUUCUUCAUAUGGACCAAACUCUUCAUAUGGAUCCAAAUCCUCAUACGGACCAAAUCCUUCACGAGGAUCAAAUUCCUCAACUGGAUCAAAGUCUUCAUAUGAUUAUCAUCGUGCUAACAAAUCUGUCUCGCAGGGCAAAGCUAAGGGCUAUGAAUAUGUGCAUUAUUCUUCAAACCAUUAUGUUCAUAAGUCCUCGAAGAAUUAUUCUGCUUAUUCAUAUGCUUACCCUAACCCCUCCAAUGCUAAGCGAAAUGGUUUGGCAUCUUUGCCACCUUUCUCACAUGGUGCUCGCAGGAUGAUGAACUCUUUGCCACCCCUCCAGAUGUGGGUGGUGAAGAAAAAGAACUAAUCUCUUCUGCAGGGUCAGGUCUCCAGACGUGCUCGAACGUCUGAAGAAUUUGCUGGGGACCUGACAAAAUGCCUGAAAGGACGCAGGCGAAUCAUGAUGAAAUGAACCUUCAUUUCACACGUCCUCAUGCUGCUAUAUUUGUUUACUGCUUGAUGAAAUUCAUCUGAUGAACUUGAUAUCAUAUUCUUCACUGAUGAAGCAUAUGAGAUUGUAAGUUACACUAAUUCAUCUGCAGGAUGAUCAACCCAAAACCACUGAAUGGGUCCUUGAUAUGGAUGUACAAAUCACAUGACUGGUGACAAGAAUCUAUUGAUGGAUGCUCCUUUAUCACCGUCACCUCUGAAGCAUAUCAUAUUUGCUGACAAAGGCAAAAGUCAGGUAUUGGGUCUUGGUAAGGUUGCUAUCUCUAAGGAUAAGCACAUGGACAAAGUCAUGCUUGUUGAAUCCUUAGGAUACUGUUGGGGAACGUUGCAGAAAAUUAAAAAUUUUCCUACGGCUUCACCAAGAUCCAUCUAUGAGUUCAUCUAAGCAACGAGUAACGGGAGAGAGUUUGCAUCUACAUACCACUUGUAGAUCGUGUGCGGAAGCUUGCAAGGUGAUGAUGGAGUCGUACUCGAACGUGAUUCAGAUCACCGAUGUCCAAGUGCUGAACGGACAGCACCUCCGCGUUCAACACACGUACGGGACGAGCGACGUCUCCUCCUUCUUGAUCCAGCAAGGGGGAAGGAGAUGUUGAGGAAGACAGCUCCACCGGCAGCACGACGGCGUGGUGAUGAUGGAGAAGCAGUACUCCGACAGGGCUUCACCGAGCUCUUACGGAGGAGGAGAUGUGUUGGGGAGGGGAGGGGCUGCGCCUUGGGAGUUGGUACAGCAGCCCCCCUCCCUCCCCCCCCCUUAUAUAGGCCCCCUGGGGGGGUGGCCGGCCCCUGGAGAUCCAAUCUCCAGGGGGGGGCGGCGGCCAAGGGGGGUGGAGUGCCCCCCAAGCCAGGUGGGGCGCCCCCCCACCCCUAGGGUUUCAACCCUAGGCGCAGGGGGUGGGCCUAGGGGGGCGCACCAGCCCCCUGUGGGCUGGUUCCCUUCCCCCUUUGGCCCAUGGGGCCCUCCGGGAUAGGUGGCCCCACCCGGUGGACCCCCGGGACCCUUCCGGUGGUCCCGAUACUUUACCGGGAGACCCCGAAACUUUCCCGAUGGCCGAAUCACCACUUCCUAUAUAUUAUUCUUUACCUCCGGACCCUUCCGGAACUCCUCGUGACGUCCGGGAUCUCAUCCGGGACUCCGAACAACAUUCGGUAUUCACAUACUAGUCUUCCUACUAACCCUAGCGUCACCGAACCUUAAGUGUGUAGACCCUACGGGUUCGGGAGACACGCAGACAUGACCGAGACGACUCUCGGGCAAUAACCAACAGCAGGAUCUGGAUACCCAUGUUGGCUCCCACAUGCUCCUCGAUGAUUUCAUCGGUUGAACCACGAUGUCGAGGAUUCGAUCAAACCCUGUAUGCAAUUCCCUUUGUCAAUCGGUACGUUACUUGCCCGAGACUCGAUCGUCGGUAUCCCAAUACCUCGUUCAGUCUCGUUACCGGCAAGUCACUUUACUCGUACCGUAAUGCAUGAUCCCAUGGCCAACACCUUGGUCACUUUGAGCUCAUUAUGAUGAUGCAUUACCGAGUGGGCCCAGAGAUACCUCUCCGUCAUACGGAGUGACAAAUCCCAGUCUCGAUCCGUGUCAACCCAACAGAUACUUUCAGAGAUACCUGUAAUGCACCUUUAUAGUCACCCAGUUACGUUGUGACGUUUGAUACACCCAAGGCACUCCUACGGUAACCGGGAGUUACACGAUCUCAUGGUCGAAGGAAGAGAUACUUGACAUUGGCAAAGCUUCUAGCAAACGAACUAUACGAUCUUUUAUGCUAUGCUUAUGAUUGGGUCUUGUCCAUCACAUCAUUCUCCUAAUGAUGUGAUCCCGUUAUCAACGACAUCCAAUGUCCAUAGUCAGGAAACCAUGACCAUCUAUUGAUCACAACGGGCUAGUCAACUAGAGGCUCACUAGGGACAUAUUGGGGUCUAAGUGUUCACACGUGUAUUACGAUUUCCGGAUAACACAGUUAUAGCAUGAACAAAAGACAAUUAUCAUGAACAUUGAAAUAUAAUAAUACUUUUAUUAUUGCCUCUAGGGCAUAUUUCCAACAGUCUCCCACUUGCACUAGAGUCACUAAUCUAGUUACAUUGUGAUGAAUCGAACACCCAUAGAGUUCUGGUGUUGAUCAUGUUUUGUACGCGAGAGAGGUUUAGUCAACGGAUCUGCGACAUUCAGAUCCGUGUGCACUUUGCAAAUCUCUAUGUCUCCAUCUUGAACAUUUUCACGGAUGGAGUUGAAACGACGCUUGAUGUGUCUGGUCUUCUUGUGAAACCUGGGCUCCUUGGCAAGGGCAAUAGCUCCAGUGUUGUCACAGAAGAGUUUGAUCGGCCCCGACGCAUUGGGUAUGACUCCUAGGUCGGUGAUGAACUCCUUCACCCAAAUCGCUUCAUGCGCUGCCUCCGAGGCUGCCAUGUACUCCGCUUCACACGUAGAUCCCGCCACGAUGCUCUGCUUGCAGCUGCACCAGCUUACUGCUCCACCAUUCAACAUAUACACGUAUCCGGUUUGUGACUUAGAGUCAUCCAGAUCUGAGUCGAAGCUAGCGUCGACGUAACCCUUUACGACGAGCUCUUCGUCUCCUCCAUAAACGAGAAACAUGUCCUUUGUCCUUUUUAGGUACUUCAGGAUAUUCUUGACCGCUGUCCAGUGUUCUUUGCCGGGAUUACUUUGGUAUCUUGCAACCAAACUUACGGCAAGGUUUACAUCGGGUCUGGUACACAGCAUGGCAUACAUAAUAGAUCCUAUGGCUGAAGCAUAGGGGAUGACACUCAUCUCUUCUUUAUCUUUUGCCGUGGUCGGUGACUGAGCUGAGCUCAAUUUCACACCUUGUAACAUAGGCAAGAACCCUUUCUUGGACUGAUCCAUUUUGAACCUCUUCAAAAUCUUAUCAAGGUAUGUGCUUUGUGAAAGACCUAUGAGGUGUCUCGAUCUAUCCCUAUAGAUCUUGAUGCCUAAUAUAUAAGCAGCUUCUCCAAGGUCCUUCAUUGAAAAACACUUAUUCAAGUAGGCCUUUAUGCUGUCCAGAAGUUUUGUAUCAUUUCCCAUCAAGAGUAUGUCAUCUACAUAUAGUAGGAGAAAUGCUACAGAGCUCCCACUCACUUUCUUGUAAACGCAGGCUUCUCCAUAAGUCUGCAUAAACCCAAACGCUUUGAUCAUCUCAUCAAAGCGAAUGUUCCAACUCCGAGAUGCUUGCACCAGUCCAUAAAUGGAUCGCUGGAGCUUGCAUACUUUGUUAGCGUUCUGAGGAUCGACAAAACCUUCCGGCUGCAUCAUAUACAGCUCUUCCUUAAGAUGUCCAUUAAGGAAUGCCGUUUUGACGUCCAUCUGCCAUAUCUCAUAAUCAUAGUAUGCGGCAAUUGCUAACAUGAUUCGGAUGGACUUAAGCUUCGCUACGGGAGAGAAUGUCUCGUCGUAGUCAAUCCCUUGAACUUGUCGAUAACCCUUAGCGACAAGUCGAGCUUUAUAGAUGGUGACAUUUCCAUCCGCGUCCGUCUUCUUCUUAAAAAUCCAUUUGUUUUCUAUCGCUCGCCGAUCAUCGGGCAAGUCUGUCAAAGUCCAUACUUUGUUUUCAUACAUGGAUUCUAUCUCGGAUUUCAUGGCCUCAAGCCAUUUGUUGGAAUCCGGGCCCGCCAUUGCUUCUUCAUAGUUCGAAGGUUCAUUGUUGUCUAGCAACAUGAUUUCCAUGACAGGGUUCCCGUACCACUCUGGUGCGGAACGUGUCCUCGUGGACCUUCGAAGUUCAGUAGUAACUUGAUCCGAAGUACCUUGAUCAUCAUCAACGUUUUCCUCUUCAGUUGGUGUGGGCAUCACAGGAACGGUUUCCUGCGCUGCACCACUUUCCCGUUCGAGGGGUAGUACUUCAUCGAGUUCUACUUUCCUCCCACUUACUUCUUUCGAGAGAAACUCUUUCUCCAGAAAGCAUCCGUUCUUGGCAACAAAGACCUUGCCUUCAGAUCUUAAGUAGAAGGUAUACCCGACAGUUUCCUUAGGGUAUCCUAUGAAUACGCAUUUUUCCGACUUGGGUUCGAGCUUUUCAGGUUGAAGUUUCUUGACAUAAGCAUCGCAUCCCCAAACUUUUAGAAACGACAGCUUAGGUUUCUUCCCAAACCAUAAUUCAUACGGUGUCAUCUCAACGGAUUUAGACGGUGCCCUAUUUAAAGUGAAUGUAGCUGUCUCUAGUGCGUAUCCCCAAAAUGACAGCGGUAAAUCGGUAAGAGACAUCAUAGACCGCACCAUAUCCAAUAGAGUGCGAUUACGACGUUCGGACACACCGUUUCGCUGAGGUGUUCCAGGCGGCGUGAGUUGUGAAACGAUUCCACAUUUCUUUAAGUGUGUACCAAAUUCGUGACUUAAGUAUUCUCCCCCACGAUCUGAUCGUAGGAACUUUAUCUUUCGGUCACGUUGAUUCUCCACCUCAUUCUGAAAUUCCUUGAACUUUUCAAAGGUCUCAGACUUGUGUUUCAUUAAGUAGACAUACCCAUAUCUACUCAAGUCAUCAGUGAGAGUGAGAACAUAACGAUAUCCUCCCCGAGCCUCAACGCUCAUUGGACCGCACACAUCGGUAUGUAUGAUUUCCAACAAGUUGGUUGCUCGCUCCAUUGUUCCGGAGAACGGAGUCUUGGUCAUUUUGCCUAAGAGGCAUGGUUCGCAUGUGUCAAACGAUUCAUAAUCAAGAGACUCUAAAAGUCCAUCAGCAUGGAGCUUCUUCAUGCGCUUGACACCAAUGUGACCAAGGCGGCAGUGCCACAAGUAUGUGGGACUAUCGUUAUCAAAUUUACAUCUUUUGGCAUCCACACUAUGAACAUGUGUAAUAUUACGCUCGAGAUUCAUUAAGAAUAAACCAUUGACCAUCGGAGCAUGACCAUAAAACAUAUCUCUCAUAUAAAUCGAACAACCAUUAUUCUCAGACUUAAAUGAGUAGCCAUCUCGUAUCAAACGAGAUCCAGAUACAAUGUUCAUGCUCAAACUUGGCACUAAAUAACAAUUAUUAAGGUUCAAAACUAAUCCCGUAGGUAAAUGUAGAGGCAGCGUGCCGACGGCGAUCACAUCGACUCUGGAACCAUUCCCGACGCGCAUCGUCACCUCGUCCUUCGCCAGUCUCCGUUUAUUCCGCAGCUCCUGCUGUGAGUUACAAAUAUGAGCAACGGCACCGGUAUCAAAUACCCAGGAGUUACUACGAGUACUAGUAAGGUACACAUCAAUUACAUGUAUAUCAAAUAUACCUUUGGUGUUGCCGGCCUUCUUAUCCGCUAAGUAUUUGGGGCAGUUCCGCUUCCAGUGACCCUUCCCCUUGCAAUAAAAGCACUCAGUCUCAGGCUUGGGUCCAUUCUUUGACUUCUUCCCGGCAACAGGCUUACCGGGCGCGGCAACAUCUUUGCCGUCCUUCUUGAAGUUCUUCUUACCCUUGCCCUUCUUGAACUUAGUGGUCUUAUUGACCAUCAACACUUGAUGUUCUUUCUUGAUUUCAGCCUCUGCUGACUUCAGCAUCGAGAACACUUCAGGAAUGGUCUUUACCAUCCCCUGCAUGUUGUAGUUCAUCACAAAGCUCUUGUAGCUUGGUGGGAGCGACUGGAGGAUUCUGUCAAUGACUGCCUCAUCUGGGAGGUUAAUGUUCAGCUGGGUCAUACGGUUGUGCAACCCAGACAUCUUCAGGAUGUGCUCACUGACAGAACUGUUUUCCUCCAUCUUACAACUGUAGAACUUGUCAGAGACAUCAUAUCUCUCGACCCGGGCAUGAGCUUGGAAAACUAGUUUCAGCUCUUCGAACAUCUCAUAUGCUCCGUGAUGCUCAAAACGCUUUUGGAGCCCCGGUUCUAAGCUGUAGAGCAUGCCGCACUGAACGAGGGAGUAAUCAUCAGAACGAGUCUGCCAGACGUUCAAAUCGUCUUGCAGCGCUGGGAGAACAGGUGGGUCACCUAACGGUGCUUCUAGGACAUACUGUUUCUUGGCAGCUAUGAGGAUGAUCCUCAGGUUUCGGACCCAGUCCGUAUAGUUGCUGCCAUCAUCUUUCAGCUUGGUUUUCUCUAGGAACGCGUUGAAGUUCAUGUUGACAUUAGCGUUUGCCAUUGAUCUACAAGACAUAUUUGCAAAGGUUUUAGACUAAGUUCAUGAUAAUAAAGUUCUAAUCAAAAUUAUGAACUCCCACUUAGAUUAGACAUCCCUCUAGUCAUCUAAGUGUUACACGAUCCGAGUCGACUAGCCCGUGUCCGAUCAUCACGUGAGACGGACUAGUCAUCGUCGGUGAACAUCUUCAUGUUGAUCGUAUCUUCCAUACGACUCGUGUUCGACCUUUCGGUCUCCGUGUUCCGAGGCCAUGUCUGUACAUGCUAGGCUCGUCAAGUUAACCCUAAGUGUUUUCGCUGUGUAAAUCUGUCUUACACCCGUUGUAUGUGAACGUAAGGAUCCAUCACACCCGAUCAUCACGUGGUGCUUAGAAACGACGAACUGUAGCAACGGUGCACAGUUAGGGGAGAACACUUCUUGAAAUUUUGUAAGGGAUCAUCUUAUUUACUACCGUCGUCCUAAGUAAACAAGAUGUAUAAACAUAAUAAACAUCACAUGCAAUUAUAUAGUUGUGACAUGAUAUGGCCAAUAUCAUCAAGCUCCAUUGAUCUCCAUCUUCGGGGCUCCAUGAUCAUCUUGUCACCGGAUUGACACCAUGAUCUCCAUCAUCAUGAUCUCCAUCAUCGUGUCUUCAUGAAGUUGUCACACCAACGACUACUUCUACUUCUAUGACUAACGCGUUUAGUAAUGAAGUAAAGUAAUUUACAUGGCGUUCUUCAAUGACACGCAGGUCAUACAAAAAAUAAAGACAACUCCUAUGGCUCCUGCCGGUUGUCAUACUCAUCGACAUGCAAGUCGUGAAUCCUAUUACAAGAACAUGAUCUCAUACAUCACAAUUCAUCAUUCAUCACAACUUCUGGCCAUAUCACAUCACAUGAUCAAUCGCUGCAAAAACAAGUUAGACGUCCUCUAGUUGUUGUUGCAUCUUUUACGUGGCUGCGAUUGGGUUCUAGCAAGAACGUUUUCUUACCUACGAAUCACCACAACAUGAUUUUGUCAACUUCUAUUUACCCUUCAUAAGGGCCCUGUUCAUCGAAUCCGCUCCAACUAAAGUGGGAGAGACAGACACCCGCCAGCCACCUUAUGCAACUAGUGCAUGUCAGUCGGUGGAACCGGUCUCACGUAAGCGUACGUGUAAGGUUGGUCCGGGCCGCUUCAUCCCACAAUACCGUUGAGCAAGAAAAGACUAGUAGGGGCAAGUAAGAUGACAAGAUCAACGCCCACAACAAAUUGUGUUCUACUCGUGCAAUAGAGAACUACGCAUAGACCUAGCUCAUGAUGCCACUGUUGGGGAACGUUGCAGAAAAUUAAAAUUUUUCCUACGGCUUCACCAAGAUCCAUCUAUGAGUUCAUCUAAGCAACGAGUAACGGGAGAGAGUUUGCAUCUACAUACCACUUGUAGAUCGCGUGCGGAAGCUUGCAAGGUGAUGAUGGAGUCGUACUCGAACGUGAUUCAGAUCACCGAUGUCCAAGUGCUGAACGGACAGCACCUCCGCGUUCAACACACGUACGGGACGAGCGACGUCUCCUCCUUCUUGAUCCAGCAAGGGGGAAGGAGAUGUUGAGGAAGACAGCUCCACCGGUAGCACGACGGCGUGGUGAUGAUGGAGAAGCAGUACUCCGACAGGGCUUCGCCGAGCUCUUACGGAGGAGGAGAUGUGUUGGGGAGGGGAGGGGCUGCGCCUUGGGAGUUGGUACAGCAGCCCCCCUCCCUCCCCCCCCUUAUAUAGGCCCCCUGGGGGGGUGGCCGGCCCCUGGAGAUCCAAUCUCCAGGGGGGGCAGCGGCCAAGGGGGGUGGAGUGCCCCCCAAGCCAGGUGGGGCGCCCCCCCCCCACCCCUAGGGUUUCAACCCUAGGCGCAGGGGGUGGGCCUAGGGGGGCGCACCAGCCCCCUGUGGGCUGGUUCCCUUCCCCCUUUGGCCCAUGGGGCCCUCCGGGAUAGGUGGCCCCACCCGGUGGACCCCCGGGACCCUUCCGGUGGUCCCGGUACUUUACCGGGAGACCCCGAAACUUUCCCGAUGGCCGAAUCACCACUUCCUAUAUAUUAUUCUUUACCUCCGGACCCUUCCGGAACUCCUCGUGACGUCCGGGAUCUCAUCCGGGACUCCGAACAACAUUCGGUAUUCACAUACUAGUCUUCCUACUAACCCUAGCGUCACCGAACCUUAAGUGUGUAGACCCUACGGGUUCGGGAGACACGCAGACAUGACCGAGACGACUCUCGGGCAAUAACCAACAGCGGGAUCUGGAUACCCAUGUUGGCUCCCACAUGCUCCUCGAUGAUUUCAUCGGUUGAACCACGAUGUCGAGGAUUCGAUCAAACCCUGUAUGCAAUUCCCUUUGUCAAUCGGUACGUUACUUGCCCGAGACUCGAUCGUCGGUAUCCCAAUACCUCGUUCAGUCUCGUUACCGGCAAGUCACUUUACUCGUACCGUAAUGCAUGAUCCCGUGGCCAACACCUUGGUCACUUUGAGCUCAUUAUGAUGAUGCAUUACCGAGUGGGCCCAGAGAUACCUCUCCGUCAUACGGAGUGACAAAUCCCAGUCUCGAUCCGUGUCAACCCAACAGAUACUUUCGGAGAUACCUGUAAUGCACCUUUAUAGUCACCCAGUUACGUUGUGACGUUUGAUACACCCAAGGCACUCCUACGGUAACCGGGAGUUACACGAUCUCAUGGUCGAAGGAAGAGAUACUUGACAUUGGCAAAGCUUCUAGCAAACGAACUAUACGAUCUUUUAUGCUAUGCUUAUGAUUGGGUCUUGUCCAUCACAUCAUUCUCCUAAUGAUGUGAUCCCGUUAUCAACGACAUCCAAUGUCCAUAGUCAGGAAACCAUGACCAUCUAUUGAUCACAACGGGCUAGUCAACUAGAGGCUCACUAGGGACAUAUUGGGGUCUAAGUGUUCACACGUGUAUUACGAUUUCCGAAUAACACAGUUAUAGCAUGAACAAAAGACAAUUAUCAUGAACAUUGAAAUAUAAUAAUACUUUUAUUAUUGCCUCUAGGGCAUAUUUCCAACAGAUACAAUCUCAUGUCAGUCUCAAUGCUUUGUGAUCUGGAUAUGGUUGUUGUCUUUGGCAAAUAUCGCUGUGUUGUGAUUAUGGAAGCUGACAAUUCCAAAGUCUUCGAAGGCUUUAGGAGAGGAGAUCUGUAUAUUGUUGAUUUCUCUACAGGACCACAACCAGCCAUGUGUCUACUUGCAAAAGCCUCAGAAGGCUGGCUAUGGCAUCGACGACUUGGUCAUGCAGGCAUGAGGAAUUUGAACACGCUUGCGAAGAAGAAGCAUGUCAUUGGCAUUGAGAAUGUCAAAUUCCUCAAGGAUCACUUAUGCGGAGCAUGUGAAGCCGGAAAAAUGACCAAGGCCAAGCAUCCAGCGAAGACUAUCAUGACCACUACUCGUCCAUUCGAAUUGCUUCACAUGGACCUCUUCGGACCUAAUCAUUAUUCAGCAGUCACUAAUGAUGCAUCUCUAUAUGGUUUUGUCAUUGUUGAUGAUUAUUCUCGAUAUACAUGGGUACACAUUGUUACUUACAAACAUGAAGUGCAGGAAGUCUUCAAACGAUUUUCCUCGAGGGCUUCAACCAACUUUGGUGUGAAGAUCAAGCAUAUCAGAAGUGACAAUGGAACUGAGUUCAAGAAUUCUGGUCUUGAUGCCUAUCUUGAUGAACUUGGUAUUACUCAUGAAUUAUCUGCUCCUUAUACUCCUCAGCAGAAUGGCGUCGUGGAGCGCAAGAACAGAACUCUUGUUGAGAUGGAUCGCACUAUGCUUGAUGAAUACAAAACGCCUCAGCGUUUUUGGAUUGAUGCAAUUGAUACUGCCUGCCACAUCAUCAACAGAGUAUAUCUUCACAAAUUCUUCAAGAAGACUGCAUAUGAACUCCUCACUGACAAGAAACCCAAUGUGAGUUAUUUCAAAGUCUUCGGUGCUAAAUGUUGGAUUAGAGAUCCUCACCACAACUCUAAAUUUGCACCGAAAGCACAUGAAGGUUUUAUGCUUGGUUACGGAAAGGACUCGCACACCUACAGAGUCUUCAACAUUGUUCUUCACAAGAUUGUUGACACUGUAGAUGUGCGGUUCGAUGAAACUAAUGGCUCGCAAAGAGAGCACCUACCUUCUGUGUUAGAUGAACCAGCACCUGAGGAUGCUAUCAAGCACAAGGCAACUGAGGAUGUCAUUCCUACUGAAGAAUCUGGUGAAGAAUUCAUUCCUGAUCAUGAAGAAGCUGAUGCACCUGAAGAACAUGAUGAGGAAAUUGGUGCUGAAGAAAAUGCUGAUCAAAAUCCUCAGCGACAACCAACUCAUCCACGCGUUGCAAAAGAAGUGCAAGUGGAGAAGAUCAUCGAUGACAUCAGCGCACCAGGUCCUCUCACCCGCUCAAAAGCCUCACACUUAUCUAACUUUUGUGGGCACUAUGCUUUUGUCUCUAUCUCAGAGCCCACUAAGGUAGAUGAAGCAUUUCUGGAGCCGGAGUGGAUUCAGGCUAUGCAAGAAGAAUUACAUCAGUUCGAGCUAAACAAUGUCUGGGAAUUGGUCAAUCGCCCAGAUCCUCGCAAGCAUAAUAUCAUUGGCACAAAGUGGAUCUACCGCAACAAGCAAGAUGAAAAUGGCCUCGUUGUGAGGAAUAAGGCACGACUAGUAGCUCAAGGCUACACACAGGUUGAAGGAAUUGAUUUCGAUGAAACUUUUGCACCUGUUGCUAGACUUGAAGCUAUUCGCAUUUUACUUGCCUAUGCUAACCAUCAUGAUAUCAUCUUAUAUCAAAUGGAUGUGAAAAGUGCAUUCCUCAAUGGUAAGCUUGAGGAAGAAGUAUAUGUUGCUCAACCCCCAGGUUUUGAAGAUCCCAAGAAUCCUAACAAAGUCUUCAGACUAAAUAAGGCUCUCUAUGGCCUUAAGCAAGCCCCUCGGGCGUGGUAUGACACUCUGAAGGAAUUCUUCGUGAAGAAUGGCUUCACACCUGGUUCACUUGACCCUACUCUAUUUACUAAAUCAUAUGAUGGUGAACUGUUUGUGUGCCAAAUAUAUGUUGAUGAUAUUAUCAUUGGCUGUACUAACCAACGAUAUAGUGAUGAAUUUGCCUAUAUGAUGAGUGAAGAAUAUCAAAUGUCUAUGAUGGGAGAGUUGAAAUUCUUCUUAGGUCUUCAAAUUCGUCAGCAACGCAAUGGCAUAUUCAUACCUCAGGAGAAAUACCUCAAAGAUGUACUGAGGAAAUUCGGCAUGCAAGAUUGCAAAGGCGUCAAAAUUCCUAUGCCCACAAAUGGUCAUCUAUGCACUGAUGAAAAUGGUACUGACUUCGAUCACAAGGUAUACCGCUCCAUGAUUGGUUCUUUAUUGUACCUAUGUGCAUCUAGGCCAGAUAUAAUGCUUAGUGUUUGCAUGUGUGCCCGAUUUCAAGCUGCACCGAAGGAAUCACACUAUAAGGCUGUGAAGCAUAUUCUUCGAUAUCUAGCUCACACACCAACACUAGGAUUAUGGUACCCCAAGGGCUCUGCUUUUGAUCUCAUUGGAUAUUCUGACUCUGACUAUGCUGGUGAUCGUGUGGACCGCAAGUCAACAUCUGGCACUUGUCAUUUCCUCGGAUGAUCUUUGGUCUGUUGGUCCUCGAAGAAACAGAAUUGUGUAUCACUGUCUACUGCUCAAGCUGAAUACAUUGCUGCUGGCUCAUGCUGUGCUCAACUGCUUUGGAUGAAGCAAACCCUCAAGGACUAUGGCGUCAACGUGAAGAAUGUGCCUCUCCUCUGCGACAAUGAGAGUGCCAUCAAGAUUGCACACAACCCAGUUCAGCACUCGAACACUAAGCACAUCCAGAUUCGUCAUCAUUUUCUUCGUGAUCAUGUGUUGAAGGGUGACAUCUCCAUCGAGCAUGUGAAGACUGAAGAACAGCUAGCUGAUAUCUUCACCAAGCCCUUGGAUGAGAAGAGAUUUAGCAAGUUGCGGUGUGAGCUAAAUAUCUUAGAAUCUUCGAAUGUUCUUUGAAAAGGACACACAUCCUAACCCUUAUGCAUAAUUGAUGACUUAGAUGUUCAACACAUGAAGAAACGUUGUUCCUCAAUCAAUGAAGAAUAACACUCUAAGUGUGAAGAAAUCAAUGAAGAAUUUGAUUCUCAGAACCCUACGACAAUUGUACGCGGUGUCUGAAAUCAUCAUUCUUAUACGGUGGGCUACGCCACCACAAAAGUUGAAAAACUUCAAUCUGAGUUUUUUUUAUUAUUUUUUUUAAUUCCUUAGUUUUUCAAAUUCUUCAACUUUGCAAAAUCUUCAGCAUUUCCGUCGUCUUUCUUCAUUGGCUAUAUAUAUAUAUAUAAGUUUAUGUCAUCUACAUCAUUCACUUAUUGCUAAUUCUUCAAGUUGCGAUUUCUGCUAAGUGAAUGUGAUCGGACCCUUCCCCUCUGUGCUAUACUCGACCCAAUCUAUUCACAAAUUCUUCAUGUGCGUUCUGAUUGAAACUCGUUCAAAGUCUUCACUGGUCCUUGACAGCUGAAGAAAUUGCGAACGAAACUUUUAAACAAAUCUUAUCCAAGUUUCGGUUUUACCACUCAAACCGUUCCGCAUCCCACGAUGUAUUAGUUUAAUCACCCAUGAUCUUAGACGAUCUUAUCUGCACAGUACGUGGGUGACACACGUCGCGUGAAGGAGAAAGGGCAGGGGCAUGUUCGUCCAAAAUCUUCGGGCGAACAGUUUUUUUCACCGUGGCUAUAAAUACCCCCUUUACCCUCCUCACUUCAUUUACUCCGCUCGAUCGCUGUCUCUCGCUCGAGCUCUCCACUCAAACCCUAGCGCCGCCGCUACUCCAUCGCCGCCGGUGAGGAAAAGCUUCACUGCCUCGACCUCAUCGCCGUCGUACUCGCGCCGGUCGCGGAAAUCUUCACUCCGCCGCCGCCGUAGCUGUCUUCCUCUGCCAAGUUAGGGCGUGGGAGAUCUAACGUGACGAACUUCUCUACAGUUCAUCUCUGUUCGUCGUGUUCCUCAGUUCGGGUAAUUAAAAAUCACUUUUAUUACUCGCGUUGAUUCUCAAAUCUUUCUGAAAAUCUUCAAAGGUGUUUUUACUCUUCAAAAUCUUCACAUAUGAACACCUCACACACUAUAUGUUCUUGAUUUAUCUCCCUAAGCAUUCAUUUCUUCAAGAUUCCUCAAUUGUGCGGAUUUUCGAUCUGUACAACUCUGGAACCUAAGACAAAACGCUUAGUGAAAUUCCUCAAGGCUCAACUGGUCAAAUUCCUCAAAACUUGCUUCUUUUGAAAAAUCUUCUGAGAACGCAUAUGACCUCUCCAAAUUCCUCGCACCUACACUCUGUUCACAGGUACUCAUGUCCGCUGCUGAAUCACUAGGUUCUCAUCAACUUAACUCAUUUGUAGCGUUCCUUGAAGAAAAACUGCAUACUUCUUCAGAGUGCUCUAUUGUUCAAAUUCCUCACCUGAAGAAAAUGGCAGAAGGCAAGAGACCACAGAAGGGAGGAAAGAAACCGGAAAUCAUGACUGCUUUUGAAAUUUCUGAGGAAAUAUACAAAGACUACUGCACACCUGAUGAAUCCAAAUUUGGCAAGGAGACCAAGAACCAGCGCAAAGUACGCAUACAGAGAAUAGAAAGAAGAAGGGCACGAGAAUGGCGAGAAUACCGCUAUGUCACUCCUAAGUACAUGAGGAAAUUCGCUUUGAAUCCUCCAUGCCCAAGAGCUCCUCUGGCACCUGGCCAAGUCGCUGAUCCCACCAGCGUCAAACGUGGUGAAGACUUUCCUGAAGAAUGGUCCAGGCGCCAAGCCAAAUUGGCAAGACAGGCCAAGGAGGCAGUGAGGAAAUUCAAUGAGGAUACUGCUGCUGCUGCUGCUGAGCCCUCGGUCAAACCGAGGAAAUCAAUGCCAAAGAAGCCUACACGCAAGCCAAGUGCUUCACCGUCAGCGCCCUCACGACCCAGUUCCUUAGCCGCGCCCUCACGGCAAAUUCCUCAGACUGCUGCUGCUCAUGCAAAAUCAUCAGCAGCUCCCUCCAAGUCCUCAACACCUGUGCAUCUUGCAACUUGUCAAAGGACUCAAGGAUUUUCCAUUGCUUCUGGUGUUUCAGCAAGUUCCUCAGCUGCACCAAUGUCCUCAACAGGUCCCACUCUGCUGAAGACAAAAGCAACUGCUGGACGCGGUCCUCGGCCAAGUCCAAAGAAGAAACAGGUUGCAUUCAACGUUCCCUCUGAUGAUGAAGCCUCUGAUGAAGAACUUGAAGAAAUCAUCAGAGACAGACUGACCAAGGCCGCUAGAGCCAAAGGAACAAGUGUACCUCUGCUUUUGGAUCCGAAGAAGAUCCUAGACUUCAUUGACCUGUGGCAUCAGGAUCCACACACUCCUCUUCCGGAUCUGCCACUGACCCCUGGUCAAAGUCACAUGCUGAACCAUUUCAUCUCUGAAGAAAAAUGGAAAUUUGAAAAGGCUCGUGAAUUGAAGAGAGCAAAAGCAAGAAAAGAGAAGCUUCUGAGGAAAAACAUCAUCAACUUGUCUCCUGAAGAACUUCUUAAAGCUCAAUCAGAAAUCCAAGCACUCAGCAAGGAUUUUGAUGCUUACAAUUCUGACUGGCAAGGAGCCAAGGUGAGAUUCGUCACUCUGACGAAGAAAAUGUCAACUGUUGCAGCUCCAUCGCAACAAGAAAAUCCUCAGGCUGAAGAAUCUGCUCAGCCUGCUGAAGAACAUGCCAGCACUGCUGAUGACUUUUAGUGUGCUGAUGAAAACACAAGUUCCAGGGCUGAUGACUCCAUUCCAGCUGCUGAAGAAAUUCCCAGGGCAUCCACUAGUGGUGCGCCUGAAGAAUCUGAAGGAAACAGGGCAACUGCACCAGUUGUGCCUGAAGAAACUGUACAAUAAUCCUCAGCUCCUCCUGCGCCAACACCAUCUCCAAUUCUUCCUUCUGCCUAUGAAGUGAAGAAGACAAAGGCUGCAGAACGAGCUGCAGUGAAGAAAAGGAAGGCAUCAGCUGCGUCAAAUUCUUCGGCUGCGAAGAAAUUGAAGCCAAUGACCAGCUCUAUUGAAAAUCCUAUUGAUGCCAUUCCCAUUUCCUCCAUGUCAUCCAAGGAAAUUGUUCCCUUUGGAGAAGAAUACACGAUCCCUAGCGGAUCAGAUGAAGAAAAUCAAUCUGUUGCCACUUCAGAACAGCUUGAUGAAGAAAUUGAAGUGGAAGCUUUCCCUUCAACUCCUGUUGCUUCCUCACCCGUGCCUUAGUUCACAGCUGAAGAGGCAGGUGUUGAGGAAAUUGAAAAAGAAGAUGAAGAUGUGGAUAUUGGGAGCACUACACCUGUAAUGAACGAUGACUUUUGGGAAAGUCAGCACCCCAAUACUCCUCUCUUCACUCCGCUUCAACAAGUUCCUCAGUCACCAACAACUACUGUUCAAAUGGGCUCUGCAGAAACUCAUCCCACAUCAUCUGUCAACGAAGAGAUUCCAGCCACUAGCGCUGAAGAACCCACUGCUGAUCCUCAAACUACACAAGGAGAGGAACCAGAAAUUCCUCAGCCUGAUGAACCUGAGCUCGUGAUUCCAGAGGUUGUGCUGCAAAUCACUGAUAUUCCUCUGCCCAAGCCAAAGAAUCCUUUCUCAAGCAAGCAGAAAUUCAAGGCUGAAGAUUUCUUUUCUGAGCAUGUGUUCUUCACUGCCUACAAUCCUUAUGACUCUGCUCGAAUGAGGAAAAGACGCUUCUGGACUCCAACUCAAGCAAACUUCUAUUCCUCAGUGCUAUUUAACAAAGACAAGAUCUUCGACCAUGAGCAUAUUCCUCAUGUGGAUAUGGAAUCACUACCAUGCUUCGAGCCAGUACUCCGUGUUCUUCACGAUGCAGGGCUGCUGAAUUUCUGCACUGAUAUAUGUGACUGGAAUGAAGAACUCAUUCUUCAGUUCUAUGCCACCCUGCACAUCACCGGAGAUGCUGAAGACAUCAACUCAUGGGUUCUGGAUUGGAUGACUGAGAAUACUCACUACAAGGCACCAGCAACUGAAUUGCUUCGUGUCCUUCCUCUUGAUCCUCCCCAUGAAUCUGCUCGUUGCCUCUACAAUGACCGUGAACUGUCUGAUCACUUCAUGCAAGUACUUAUGAAGCCAUUGAAGCCAGGCCAAGCCCCUCGAACCAAAUUCCUCGUCAAGGAUUUGCUGUAUGUGCCUCGGACUGUGUAUAGAAUCUUGACGAAGACAAUGAGUCCAAUCAAAGGCCACGACUCAAAUGACGAAGAUGUCAUUGGCAUCAUGAAGAACAUGCUUUUCAAUAUCAUUCAUGGCGUUCCUGUCAACUUCCAUGAUUUCUUCAUGAGGACUCUGGCCAAUAUUGCAAUGUCACCUUUUGAGCUGAAGCCAUAUGCACCUUGGAUCAUGAGAUUCAUAAGGGCAAGAUCUUCACUGAACUACAAGGCUGACACUCUGAAUCAUGGCAGUUUCCUGCCGCCCAUUGAAGUCCUCAAGCGACCAAUUUCAUCAUCUGAUGACAAGGGCAAGGCAGCUGCUGUAAUUGAUGAAGGCACUCGUCCAUUGGAUGGUCAGUUUCGCAAAGCUGCAUCUUACUCCACCAAUGACGACUCUGCUACGCAUGAUACUGCCGCAAAUACCUCAACCAAGCAACAACCUCAAGCCACAGCACCCAGGGUGAUGACUGAUCGUGAGUUACUCCUCAGUCUUCAUCAGAAGGUUGAUCGCAAUCAGAAAUGGGUCAAGCGCCAAUUUGCUGCAAUUCUUCAUAAUAUGACCUCAACGCAUAAUGCUGUGAAGAAAAACCAGUACUACCUUCAUGAAACCCUCAACCGCACCUGGGCUGUUCUGAAUCAUGUCUAUUCCGCGGAAGAAUUGAAGACUAUGGGUCUUCAGGAAUCUUAUGACUGGUCUGCACCACCUCCGAAGAAAUUCAAGAGAGUCAAAGUUCCUGAUUUGGUGGCCAGUUCUUAUUCUUCAUCGCGUGAAACUGAUGAAUAUGAAGAUUUAGACGACACUGCGGUAGGCCCUACUUCAACAACCAACCCCGACAAUGCUGGCGCUCCUCCAUCGACUUGAAUAUCUUCAGGGGUGUUAGUCCUUAGUUUCGAUCCUUUUGGUCAUUUGAUGACAAAGGGGGAGAAAUCUGAGUUAGUCUUCAAGCGGGUUUAUACUAUGGGCGUUUUUAUUAAGUUACAACUCUCGUUCUUCCGAAACUUUUAUUGGAUCGAGUUGUAAUCUUAAAUCCGAUGGUGCCCUGAUACUUUUGAUCGUGCAUUGUGCUGACUUUGCACUGUGCUCUGAUACUUUUUUUGAGAGAUGUGCUCUGAUACUCUUGAUCGUGCUUCUGAUGCUCUGAUUUUGAUAUGUGUUAUGCUCUGAUGCUUUUGAAGCACUAAGCUCUGAAUGUGAUAUUUGAGCUCUGAAACUGUUGAUGUGAUACUCCGCAUGCUCAUUCCUAGUCAAUACUAUUGCAUGCAUGCUGAAUCUCAUCAGGCACCAUAUUUCAUCAUGCAUUUCAAUUCUUCAUAGUAUAUAUAUCAAAUGCGUGUAUGAAUUACAAGAUAUAGGGGGAGUUCUCCAUCAUUUAAUUCUUCAAAUGUGCACUGCCUCAAAAGCAAAUUCCUCAUUAUGCACAUAUUUAGGGGGAGUUCUUCUAUAUCUUGCAAUCAAAUUCCUCAAUAUCAGUAUUUACACUUCAUAUGUUUAUCCCCGUUGAAAACUUAACCUAUGUUGUCAUCAAUCACCAAAAAGGGGGAGAUUGUAAGUGCAUCUAGUGCCCCUUAGUGAUUUUGGUGUAUUGAAGACUUAUAGGUUAAGUAACUGAUGCGUUUGUGAGUGUACACAGGUCUAUAAGUCUAUGAGGGGUUUGAUAUUUACAGAGAAAGUCGACCCCUAAAAAUGAAGUUCUUCGACUGAAGACUUUGAUAUUCUGAAGACUUUCUGAAGACUUUGAAAGUGAAGAAAUUGGUGUGACCAUGAAGACUUGAUAUUCAUUCGAGGAAUAUGAAGCGUGAAGACUUUUGUUUUCGUAGUUUCAUUUUCUCUUUCUUGAGUCAUAGGAAACACCGUACUGUUAAAGGGGGUCGAGGAAAUACUAAGGAAAAAUUUCCGUGUGAUGCUCAACUCAAAAUCCUACACCUACCAAUCCCUUCGAGUGAAGCCAUUGGAAAUCUCAUACAGUUCAGUCAAAUUCUUCAGUGACAGAGACGCAGUUCUUCUGGUCACUGAUGACUUUGCUCUGACUGAGGAGUUAGGAAUUCGCCAGUGCGAAUUGCCUACACAGUGAGGAACAUGAUAGCCCUGAGGACUUUGAAAGUCAAAUUUCCGACCGUUGCUGUGCUGCGCGCCGGCGGACCAAAAUAUCUUAUCCACCUAACGGUCAUAUCAUUGAAGGGCAUUUAUGUCUUAUCAUGUCGGGCUGCUCCCUAGGCUAUAAAUAGCCGCCCCCUACAACCACUAGUUGGUUGGCUGCUCCGAGAGAACUUGACACUUGUCAUUUGAGAGCAACCCAUCCUCCGAGGACUUUGAGCGAAAAUCAUCAAGUGAGGAAAAUCCAAAACCAAAGCCCCACAAAAACCCCAAGUGAUUGAGCAUCACUGAAGAAAUUGAUCCUGCGUGGAUCCGACGCUUGUUACCUUUGAAGACUGUGCUUCUUCCAGACGGUUAGGCGUCAAGGUCUAGAGCAUCCAAGAGGAAUUGUGGAUCGCCGAGUGACCAAGUCUGUGAAGGUUUGGAAGUCACCUGAAGACUUACCACGAGUGAUUGGACGAGGCCUGCGUGGUCUUAGUUCAAGGAGAAUACGGUGAGGACUGGGUGUCCUGAGUUGCGGCUCAGAGACUGGGUGUCCGGGACUGUGUGUCCUCGAGUUUAAAUACUCAGCCGCUCCAACCAGACGUACAACUGAGACAGCAGUUGGAACUGGUCUACCAAAUCAUUGUCUUCACCAACUGACUGGUUCUAUUUCCUCAACUCAUUCAUUUCCUCAUUCUGUGUUGCAUGUUGUUCAUAUCUGUGCUUGAAGACUUUGACUGAAGACUUUCACAAAUUCCUCAGUUCAAUUUCUUCAGUCUGUUUGUCUUCAUCUUGUUAUCCUGUGUUUACGCUUCCUGUACUCUGUUCUAGUCUUCAUUUCAUCAUGCUGACUAUGUGUGUAAUCGGUUAUGUUUACCUCUGAGUACUUAUUCCGCUGCAAAUAGUUCUUCGCUAAGGAAUUUCCUCACCGGCAAAUUCCUCAGUGAAGAAUUUCAUAAAAAUCGCCUAUUCACCCCCCCUCUAGUCGAUAUAACGCACUUUCAGG
rnacentral:lncRNA from 1 species